UGGGGGAUAUUGCACAAUGGGGGAAACCCUGAUGCAGCGAUGCCGCGUGAGGGAAGAAGGUUUUCGGAUUGGAAACCUCUGUGGAGGGGGACGAUAAUGACUGUACCCCUUAAGGAAGCCACGGCUAACUCUGGGCCAGCAGCCGCGGUAAUACGUAGGUGGCGAGCGUUGUCCGGAAUUACUGGGUGUAAAGGGAGCGUAGGCGGGAGUGCAAGUCAGAAGUGAAAACUAUGGGCUCAACCCAUAGCCUGCUUUUGAAACUGUACUUCUUGAGUGAGUCAGAGGCAAGCGGAAUUCCCAGUGUAGCGGUGAAAUGCGUAGAUAUUGGGAGGAACACCAGUGGCGAAGGCGGCUUGCUGGGGCUUUACUGACGCUGAGGCUCGAAAGCGUGGGGAGCAAACAGG
rnacentral:rRNA from 1 species